CAUGGUAUCAAGACCAAACCAACCUUAAUAUAUAGGGAAUCCAAGGGUACAGUCGAAGGAGACACUGUCUUCCAGCAACUGGGCGAUGUGUUGGCAGAGCCUUGUCAGAUUGAACACUGGUCCUAAACUGGGAUUCAUAGGUGGUCAGAGCAGACUUUGUGUAAAAGCAUGGCUGGUGGACAAUAGAGCUGGUGGCCCUCUAGAGCCACGAGGAAGAGAACAGGUUUGGGAAAUUUCGCACAGCCAAGAGUUUGGUAGGAAUUGUUAGGAAGUCAGGCAGCAAUUCCUCCAGAUUAAUAAGAAGCGAGCCUUAGCUACUCUAAGCAGUGUUAACAGCUGUUUGUGGGGCCUAGAGAGAUUGCUUAGCAAUGAAGAGUGCUUGCUGAAUUUGCAAAGCAUCUGAGUUUGGUUCCUCACUCCAACAUCCAGUAGCUCACAACUAGCUCCAGCUCCGGCUCCAGGGGCUGCCUCUGAGGGCAUAUAUAUAUAUAUAUAUAUAUGUAUAUGUAUAUAUAUAUAUAUACACACAUAUGUAUAUAUAUAUAUGGUCUAUGUUUUCAGAAAGUAUAGAGACAAAGGUUCUUAGGGGAAAGUGCUCUUGUGUGUGUGUGAGAUGUAUUUGUGUAACAGGGUUCUGUGUUGCUCAAACUGACAUUGUACUUGCAUUAUUGAGUGCCUGGUGUGGUGGUUUGAAUAGGAANNNNNNNNNGACUUGUGGAUUUUAAAACCUGGUCACCAGGGCGUGACACCAUUUGAAGGAUUAGGAGAUGUUGGAGGAAGUGUGUCAAUGUAGGUAGGUUCUGAGGGCUCAAGGACCCAAGUUAGGCCCAGCAUCUUUCUCUUCCUACUGCCUGUGGAUCUGGCUGUAGAACUCUGAGGGUCUUCUCUAGCACCACGGCUGCUUAUAUGUCACCACACUACCUCCUAUGACCACAAUGGACUACACCUCUGAAACUGNNNNNNNNNNNNNNNNNNNNNNNNNNNNNNNCUUGGACUUCCAUUCACAGCUGCUGCUGACCAUUGUUGGGAGUUGGACUACAGACUGGAUGCUACACACUGAGUGAAUCACUUUGCUGGUUUCAGGAGAGAUCCCAGCCAAGAGGAGUGAAUACCACUCACAGGGGCAAAGGCAAGUGACCUGCUUGGAGAAACAAUCCACCUGCCCCGAGGAGAGCCGAACACCUUCACACCUUUUUCCUCUUCAUCCAAAGACUAAAAACUAGAUCUGAGUCCCUCCCAAAGGCAAAGGAAGAUGGAAGACUAUCAAGUGGAUGAAGUUUCCCAGCCUGCAAACUCAUCACAGCCUUGGCCCAGCAUCUUACCCAUCCUCCCUCCUCCAUCAUCUGAUGUAGGACUUGCUAUAAAUUGAUGCCUCCUACCUGUCAAUGCAAGAGAAGAUAGCACCCAGUGAAGCACCUUUCCGUUUUAGUUUGACAAUAAAUCUAUUCUGUCUCC
ensembl:antisense 4933408N05Rik RIKEN cDNA 4933408N05 gene